AUCCACGUGCCCCCCCCUUGUUAUCCUCGUGCUCCCGGCCUUGUAGCGGUGCCGUGGCGGGGCGUGUAGGCGUUGACAUGUAAGCCCCGGUCGUCUACCCUCCGUGCCCUAUGGGGGUCCGUGGACGGGGCAGCACUCACGGUCAACGGCACUGCCCAUACACUCAGUCCACCCUGGCGGGGACCUCACCAAUGACCUCCAUGAAAACAGGGUCCCAGACAAGCCAGUUGGUCUGAAGGUGUCUUGUGGUCCAUUACAGCCGUGGCGCUGACUGACCACAUCAGGGUGUGUUGGCAGCCCCCCGCACAGCACAAUGUGCUGCUGUGCGGCUACACCAUUGCCUGGGACCAAGGCGUGGCGGACAUCUACUCCAAGAUCGUGGACAGCAAGCAGCACGGUUACAUCAUUGAUAAGCUGGAACCCAACAUGGAGUUUGUGAUAAGCCUGCGAGCCUUCAACAACGUGGGUGACGGGCAACCGGUGUACCAGCAAGUCCGCACCCAGCCAGAGGAGGAGGAGGUGGUGGCACCCACGCUGGACCCGGCGGUGUGGGUGAAGGCCGUGGUGCUGACGCCCUUCACCGUGGUGCUGCAGUGGGCGGACACCAUGCUGAGCCAGAACCAGUACAACAGCUGCACCACCUUCUCGUCCUCAUCCUCCAGCCGCUACGUCAACGCCACGGAUGUGACCUGCCUCAUUGACAGCCUCAAGCCAUCAACAGUGUCCUGGUGGCCUCCAACACCCUGCUGGUGGCCCGGCCGUCCUAGCCCUCCCUGGCCAGCCAUCCACCACCACCUUCACCCGGCAGCCGUCCACCACCACCUUCACCCGGCAGCCGCUGCAGCGGAACAAUGGGAGGAUCACAGGCUACGCGAUAUUCCUCACCACGGACCAAACUGUCAGUGACUGGGUGAUGGGGGAAGUGACGGGGGACUGGCUCACCCUUACCGUCCAUGGACUGACGCCUUCAAGAAAGUAUUUGCACAAGAUGCACUCUCACAAUGUCAAAGGUUUUGGUCCAUUCUCCUCCGUGGAAAGCUUCACGACUCUUCCAGCUGUUGACAAGAGCAUCGGUGAGCCCCCAGGCUGGUGUGUGGAGCGAGAGGCCUGAUUGUGCUGGUGAUCGCUGGCGUGGCAGGAGCCAUGACCAGCUGGGGGCCUUCUUGGCCACCACACUGUACUGCCGCGGGUCAAGGCGGAGCCCAGGCCAAGCAUUGUGUAAGGUGGCAGGACAGUUUCUUGUUGGUGUGUUUCAUCCCAUGACUCAUUUCAGCAAUCCUUUACACUGACUGCAGGAACUUUUUAUUCACUUUGUAAUAUGGAGAACAAGGCUGCAGGGCAUAGUCCACAAAGACUUAAGUUUGCCAAGAUUAGAGAAAGAAAAAAAAAGGUAAACUUGUUCAUAGGAAAUGUUCAAGAUGGACUUUCAUUUUGUGCUAUACAUAGUUGCAGGGUAACAAGUGACCUCUGUUUGUGAUAUCUGUGUCUCUUGGUGGAGCAGCUAACACGUGUUUCUAACUUGUGAUUGCUUGCAGUGUGCUGGCUGGGAGCUAUUUCUUUAAAUGAAUUCAAAUAUGCUUUGUUGAACU